rfam:Kiloniella sp. P1-1 contig17, whole genome shotgun sequence.
AUUUCUGAUUCAAAAAUUCCCGAUGCACAGGCCGGUGCAGAAAAAAGCCUGACAGGCCUCGCCGCCGCACUGGCAGGUUCCAACUACAUCCAUCACUCGG